CUCCUGGAAACGGGUGGUAAUGCCGGAUGUUCCACAUGAGCGCAUGCGAGUGUGGGAAAGGCUUUUUGCGGCAUGGGAUGGGGUCGCGUCCUAUCAGCUUGUUGGUGGGGUAACGGCCUACCAAGGCGUUGACGGGUAGCCGGCCUGAGAGGGCGACCGGCCACAUUGGGACUGAGAUACGGCCCAGACUCCUACGGGAGGCAGCAGUGGGGAAUAUUGCACAAUGGGCGCAAGCCUGAUGCAGCGACGCCGCGUGCGGGAUGGAGGCCUUCGGGUUGUAAACCGCUUUUGUUCAAGGGCAAGGCACGGUCUUUUGGCCGUGUUGAGUGGAUUGUUCGAAUAAGCACCGGCUAACUACGUGCCAGCAGCCGCGGUAAUACGUAGGGUGCGAGCGUUAUCCGGAUUUAUUGGGCGUAAAGGGCUCGUAGGCGGUUCGUCGCGUCCGGUGUGAAAGUCCAUCGCCUAACGGUGGAUCUGCGCCGGGUACGGGCGGGCUGGAGUGCGGUAGGGGAGACUGGAAUUCCCGGUGUAACGGUGGAAUGUGUAGAUAUCGGGAAGAACACC
rnacentral:rRNA from 1 species